rnacentral:lncRNA from 1 species
GCACAUUUCAUUCCGGUACGUAAAGACUAUUCACUUGAUAAAUUGGCUGAAUCAUACAUAUCUGAGAUUGUGAGAUUGCACAGUGUGCCAGUUUUGAUUAUUUUUGAUAGAGAUCCGAGGUUUACAUCACGAUUUUGGAAGAAACUUCAAGAAGCCCUAGGUACAAAGAUGAAAUUUAGUACUGCGUUUUAUCCGCAAACCGACGGUCAGUCCAAGAGAGUAAUUCAAAUUCUUGAAAAUAUGCUUCGUUGUUGUGUUUUAGAGUUUAAAGGCAAUUGGGAGAAAUAUUUUUCGUUGGUUGAAUUUGUGUAUAAUAAAAGCUUUCAAUCGAGCAUAAUGAUGGCACCAUACGAAGCUUUGUAUGGUCACAAAUCCCGAACAACUUUGUACUAGACUGAGCUUAGCGAGAAACAGAUCCAUGGGUUAGAGAAACUGAAGAAAAAGUGAAAGUGAUUCACGACAGUUUGAAGGCAGCUUCUGAUCGACAGAAAUCAUAUGUAGAUCUAAAACGAAAAAACAUUGAAUUUCAAAUUGGUGAUAAAGUAUUUCUGAAAGUGUCUCCGGGGAAGAAAAUCCUUCUGUUUGGUCGUAAAGGUAAACUGAGUCCGCGAUUUAUCAGGCUGUAUAAAAUCAUCGAAAGAAUAGGUUCAGUGGCAUAUCGGCUUGCUUUACCGACUGUGUUAGAGAAAAUCCACAAUGUAUUCCAUGUGUCGAUGUUGCAUUGAUAUAGAUCAGAUUCUUCACAUGUGAUUUUGUCCGUUAGAAAUUGAAAUUCAACCAGACAUGACGUACAACGAAGAAUCGAUUAGAAUUAUAGCUCGAGAUGUAGCACCCCAAACCCGGCCCAGAAGUUAUGGACGGAUCCGGCAUGCCACAUCAAAAACGUAAAAAAAAAAUUUCCAUUCUAAGUCCAGAAAAUCGUACUUGAUGUUCAAAAGAUUAAUUCAUUAAGGGUUAAAGUGAAUGGAAGCUGUGCACCAGGUAGGAAACUAGAAAAGAGGUGGUGAGUCCAUCGGACUGCUUAAGUACCAACCUCCAUUCGGAUCCAAUCCUAGACAUGCAUACCACCAUUGCCACACCUUAACGUCAUGGAUAUUUCUAGGAAACCGAUUUGAUUAAGUCAUUUUUAGGAAAAGUGAUCAAUUUUGGAAAAUACUUUCAUUACGGAAGCUUUGCUUGUUGUCGUGUUAUUUUGAAAUCAAUUGUUGUUUUUGAAAACGUGCCCUAAAGCUAUCCAAUUUCGACAGUUAAAAUAAGUAAUACCUAUCUUAGUAAUACAUAUUAAAACCAUCAAAAAUAAUUAAGCGGCCUUAUUACAUUUAAAAACCCAAAACUUCAAACGUAAAUAAAAGGAUGUCUAGCUCACCAGAAGAAAAUCAAACUUUCAGAACGGCUGGCCACUCCGAAUUCCCUCACAGCUCCAAGCCCACUAUGGUUGGGGAUUACCUGCGUGGAUGAAAAUAAAAGGGGUGAGUUUGGGGAAACUCAGUGUGUAAAAUAACCCAACCAUAGCCUAUAUCAGCUCAAACCACAGAAAUAGAAUAAGUUGGCCUUAGCCAGAACAAAAUUCAGAAUAAAGCCCAUAGGCCCAUAACAGAACAGAACAGUUAUUACAUGUUUAUGCAGAAACCCAACCAUAUCCAACCGUAUACACCCCCGUACCAACCUUACACCGUGUGGGGAGACAACUCGACCCAUCCAACCGCUACACACCACAGAAUUUGCAGCAUGGCUGCCAGAACAGAUAAUGUGACAGAGUCACCAGAUAUAGAUAAUCGUGGCAGAGCCACCAGAACAGAUAUAUGUAGCAGAGCCACCAGAUUAGAUAUUUGUGGCAGAGCCACCAGAUCAGAUAUUUGUGGCAUAGCCACUAGAACGCUUCCUCCAUAAUAUAACCCAUGUCCCCAUGCAACAGAUAUAUAAUCAUGGCAUACAUCAUACAGAAUCAGAUCGUCAUGCCUUUCAGUCAAAAUUAACCCUAGGGGUAUAACAGUAAUUUUCCAUACAUAGGGGUAUUAUAGUAAUUUAGCUACUUUUAGGGUUUUCAUGCAUAUCCUAACUAUUUACGUACUAUCAGAACACUUACCGCGCAUACUUACCGAAUUGGGCCCGUUGGCCCAUGAACCCGAUCUUUGGCCCAUUAAGCCCAAAUUAUCAAAAUGUACGAAAUCGCGCGUACUGCAGUUUAUUACUUUAGAUUACCAAAUAUACAAACCCAACUAUCUUACAAGCAUUCGCACACUCGUAAAUUCCCAAAAUACCGACUUUUUGGCAUUUCGGCUUUUCGACUUUUACCAAUCUAGUCUAUGAGAGGGUGUCAGUUACACACCUGUUUGCGACGAUAUGCUGACGAGAUCCACACACGAACCGCCUACAAUUGGAUUACUAACACGUUAAUCUAACUAUUCAAAUACAAACUACGUAUUAACCCCUUACAAUAUUCGGCCAACCACACCUACAGAUCAUAGUAAGCUUAUAAGAAAUCAAUAAGCAACUCAUUAACAAAUUUUUGUCAAUGUUUACUACAUAAUCAUAAUUGCACUGCAAGCUGUCUUCCUGAGCAACAUUCACUAAAUUAUUUAUAACUGGAGCUACAAAACUCCAAAUCAAGUUCCGUUAAUUUUCCAUGAAAAUAGACUCAUAUAUAUUUUAUCCAUAAAAUUUUCAGAAUUUUUGGUAUGGCCAAUCAAUACCAGAUUAUUCUUAAAGUUUCCCAAGUUUCACUGUUUGACUAAUCUGACCACUCUUCAUUACGAAUCAAUUUUCUCAUUGUAAAGAAUUCAAAAUAUGUUCUCGUUUGUUCCAUUUGAAACUAGACUCAUUAAGAUUUAAUUACAUAAUUUAUGCAGCUUCUAACUCAUCUCCCACAAUUUAUGGUGAUUUUCCAAAAUCACGUUACUGCUGCUGUCCCAAGCAGAUUUAUUACCAAAUCACUCUUUCACACCUAACUUGCAUGCUUGUUAUUUAAACAUGUAUAUCACCAAUCAAUCAUCACAUAUCUAUGAUUUUACUUAAGUAUAAUCUCCAUUUCAUCAUUUUAAAGCACAACAAAUUAGCCGAUUUUUCCCUUUAGCAUCUAAGGCACAUGCAUGCUCAUUUGUUUGGCUCAACUUCACCUAUCUUCCAUUUUUCAUCAAAAGAACAUGAAACAACAACCAUUUCCUUCAUUUUAAUUCAUGACUAAAUGCUCACAACACAACUAAAAAUCAAAAUAUACUUCAAGUGUUAAGGUAGAAUCAAGAAGAACUCAUUAACCUCAAAAUAGAAGCAAGGUACCAAGAACUUACCUUCAAUUUUCCUCCUCCUAAUGACCGAAUACUCAAGAGCUUUCUCCUCUCUUUUCUCUUCUCUAACUUUCAGCUAUGAUGAACAAAGAUGGACAAAACUUUGUUCUUUUCACCCCUUUUUCUUUUAAUAAAAC